AGUGAACGCUGGCGGUAUGCCUAACACAUGCAAGUCGAACGGCAGCACAGUAAGAGCUUGCUCUUACGGGUGGCGAGUGGCGGACGGGUGAGGAAUACAUCGGAAUCUACUUUUUCUUGGGGGAUAACGUAGGGAAACUUACGCUAAUACCGCAUACGACCUACGGGUGGAAGCAGGGGAUCUUCGGACCUUUCGCGAUUGAAUGAGCCGAUGUCGGAUUAGCUAGUUGGCGGGGUAAAGGCCCACCAAGGCGACGAUCCGUAGCUGGUCUGAGAGGAUGAUCAGCCACACUGGAACUGAGACACGGUCCAGACUCCUACGGGAGGCAGCAGUGGGGAAUAUUGGACAAUGGGCGCAAGCCUGAUCCAGCCAUACCGCGUGGGUGAAGAAGGCCUUCGGGUUGUAAAGCCCUUUUGUUGGGAAAGAAAAGCAGCAGGUUAAUACCCCGCUGUUCUGACGGUACCCAAAGAAUAAGCACCGGCUAACUUCGUG
rnacentral:rRNA from 1 species